GUCUUCGCUUGGAAUGAUUGAAAAAUAUUUUUGAAAGAUAAGAGCAAUAAUCCGUAAAAUUAAACUCCGAAUACAUCCGAGUGUGACGUGUGUCUCCGCUGCCAACAAACCAAACAAAAUGGCGUGUUUUGGUCGCUUGAAAGUGUUGGAAAGUUCGAAGCUCCUAAUUUUUUGCAAUUAUCAGCUGAAACGGCUAAGCAGCACAUCCAGCGUAUCAUAUAGCGGAAAUGGUCCGGAAGUUAAAUUUGCCGGUCGAGACCAUUCGGACAGAAUCAAAAAUGGGAAAUACCGGUGUUGGACAUCAUAAUUAUUCGUUUAACUAGAAUAAAUAUGACGAGAAGAAAGUCGUUAAUCUUUCCCACGGGGUACUUUCGGAUCGGAUCGCAUUAAAAGGAAUCUCCGGUGACACAAAGGAUUCUUCCGGACUUAUCUUUAAAUUGGCAGUAAAAAGGUUGCUGGUGUCGCAGAAUCAGCAGAACGGGUUGGGAAAGGUUUUCUCCUUCUAUUUGUUAUUUACUAUUGAACAUUUUUAUUAUCUCAAAUAACCCAAAUCUAACACCGUAUGAGAAGGCAUAAUCUCCGAUGGCACCAUUUAUAUUUCCGGUUGUACGUUGCAGUGCAAUUUAUCUGAAACAGUUGUUGGAUCAGCGAGAUGGUUCGGAAGAAAAACGUGUCUCUCAUAGAAGACUCGAAUUUAGCCCUGAAUCGCAAAUAUAUAAGAAAUAUACAGAGAAGCAUCGGUCGUUCUCCAAUGAAACCUUCGUUUCAAAACGCAUCUAGUGAAAACGAUGAAUCCGGAUUAAAAAAAAUGUGUACUUCAACUGAAUCUGUCGAUGGAAAAAGUUCGGUCUCCGGGGCGGCCGGUAUUGAAACUAGUGGGAAAUCAAUGGCGGAAACAGCUGAUUUUAACACAGCCCAGGUGGUACUACCACCAAAUCAUCCAUCCGAAGCGUCCCCACGCAUCACUAUCCACUUGUCAGCGAAAGAGACAAUCACCACGGCAGUAGCUUUCAUUCCUAUCAUAAAUAACCAAAAAAAGAAAACCAAUUCACAAUAAGUCAGGUUGAGCUUUUCCUCGUCGAAGAGGGCCUAUUUGAUAUAACUAUUUGCAUUACGACACCUAUAAGAAUAUUUGCGAGCAGAGGAGCACAGCAAAUAGUGUCUAUCCAGCUAUCAGCAAGGAAAUAGGAUUGUUUUUCUAGGGGAUGUACAGCGAGCAUCAUUUGGGAAUGUUCGCUAAGAAGAAUGUUUCCCAAGCUCACGGAUCAAGAUUUCUGCGAGUUGGGAUUCCAGUUACCAUUCGAACGGAAAAAGAUUCUUCGUGGUUUGCUCAAGUUUCAUCGGCAGGCGUGGAACAAACGCAGCAUGAAACAAUUUCGAAAGCACAAACUUAACUCUUAUACAGUCUGAUGGAACUAAUCGCCAAUCAUUUGGAUCAAGGACCACAAAGCAGUCUCCAUUCGUGUUCAUCUCCAACUUUAUCCCGCCAGAAAAAAAAUCACACAAAAUAUUAACCUCUACUGAAGGAAGAGGUUUAACUACUGAAGUCAAAACGUUUGCGACAAACAGGUAACUGUGAUGCGCUAAAUGCAUUCUACAACAUCAUUGAAACAAAUUCAAAUGCGUUAGAACAAAUUCCAUAUCAAAACCAUUACUCAGCAGUCCGCGAACUCCACGAACGGCAAUCAUAGCCGCAAGAGGUCUUUCAUCGCAUAAUCAUCACCUACACUCCCCGGUAAUCCUCAUUGACUUGCAACGUCAGUCACGGAUCCGGAGGUGGUCAAAGUACCGCGUAACUCUAAGAAUCCAGCGUUCAUUACAACUCAUAGAAAGUCUUUGGUCAUUACUGUCAGCAUUGUUCAUCCCUGAAGCUAACCGAUGAUAAUUUUCUCAGUUCGAACAGUAUUUUUUUGAGAUAAAAUUAUUAAUAAUUAAUAUGAAUUAAAUAAAACAAUCUAAUAUAGUCGAAUAAAUAAUAUUAUCUCUAUAAGAGAUUAUAAAAUGAA